CCAAUAGCGUAUAUUAAAGUUGUUGCAGUUAAAAAGCUCGUAGUUGAAUUUCGGGAUUAGUACGUUGGUCGUGCCUUAGGUACGUACUGGUGUUACUGGUUCCUACCUUCUGACGAACCAUCAUGUCAUUAAUUUGGUGUGGCGGGGAAUCAGGACUGUUACUUUGAAAAAAUUAGAGUGUUUAAAGCAGGCUCGCGCUUGAAUACAUUAGCAUGGAAUAAUGAAAUAGGACGUUGACCCUAUUUUGUUGGUUUCUAGGAUUGACGUAAUGAUUAAUAGGGAUAGUUGGGGGCAUUAGUAUUCAAUUGUCAGAGGUGAAAUUCUUGGAUUUAUUGAAGACUAACUACUGCGAAAGCAUUUGCCAAGGAUGUUUUCAUUAAUCAAGAACGAAAGUUAGGGGAUCGAAGACGAUCAGAUACCGUCGUAGUCUUAACCAUAAACUAUGCCGACUAGGGAUCGGAUGAUGUUAUUUUUAAUGACUCAUUCGGCGCCUUACG
rnacentral:sRNA from 1 species